GCUGGGCACAGUGGUGCACGCCUGUAAUCCCAACAACUUUAGAGGCUAAGGCAGGACGAUCUCAAGUUUGAGACCAGCCUCACCAACUUAGGGAGGCCUUGUCUUAA
rnacentral:sRNA from 1 species